AUGCACGCUGGCGGCGUGCCUCAUCCAUGCAAGUCGAGCGAACAGACGAGGAGCUUGCUCCUCUGACGUUAGCGGCGGACGGGUGAGUAACACGUGGAUAACCUACCCAUAAGACUGGGAUAACUUCGGGAAACCGGAGCUAAUACCGGAUAAUAUAUUGAACCGCAUGGUUCAAUAGUGAAAGACGGUUUUGCUGUCACUUAUAGAUGGAUCCGCGCCGCAUUAGCUAGUUGGUAAGGUAACGGCUUACCAAGGCAACGAUGCGUAGCCGACCUGAGAGGGUGAUCGGCCACACUGGAACUGAGACACGGUCCAGACUCCUACGGGAGGCAGCAGUAGGGAAUCUUCCGCAAUGGGCGAAAGCCUGACGGAGCAACGCCGCGUGAGUGAUGAAGGUCUUCGGAUCGUAAAACUCUGUUAUUAGGGAAGAACAAAUGUGUAAGUAACUAUGCACGUCUUGACGGUACCUAAUCAGAAAGCCACGGCUAACUACGUG
rnacentral:rRNA from 1 species